CAACCCUCAAGCACUGCUUGGCGUUGGGGCACUACGCGCUGAGCGUAGGCCCCUAAAAUCAGUGGCGGGCCCGCCGUGGCUCCGGGCGUAGUAGCAACACCUCGCCCCGGGACUGCGGCGCGCUCCGGCCGUUAAACCCCCACUAUACUGAA
rnacentral:misc_RNA from 1 species